rnacentral:lncRNA from 1 species
AUCAGCACCAGCUCUAACAUACAGAAUUACUCAGGGAUAUUCCUCCCAGUAUUCUUUCACCUUUCCAUGACUACUGCUGUUGAAAUUGGCUUGCCAUGAACCUGCUCAUUCUUCGUUAAUUCAUUUACUAAGCAGCGACUGCAUGCAUACAAUAAGAAUACAAAGGGAGGAUCCAGAUUUGAACAGCAGGGCGGCAUCGGUCCACAGGCGUGUGCCGGCUACCUGGGCAUGAGUGCGCUCUCGCCCUGCGUCACAGACCUGUCCCAGUACUACAUCAAAACCCUACUUUUCCUGAGAGUGGCGGAAUAGCUGAAAGGGAAAUUCAUUCAACUGAACAACAUCGUCUAAUCCUUCUUUCAUUCCCAUUCAAUAAAAAUCAUUUAAAAAAUCAAUGGUAAAACGGAUUUGUCCUUGAAAGAACAUAAAGGCUGAGAUAAGGGCUGCUCCUCUGGACCUCAACAAUGCCACCAUCGUUUUCCGUGUUACUGCAGCGUUCUCAAUGUGUCUGUCUGCCCGCUGGCAUACGGACCCUUCUCUUCCCCUUCGUUUCCCCAGCACCGAACAGAGGGUAAAGUUCUGAAGUGCUUGGUGAAGCAAUGCGUGAUGAAGAAAACAGUGCUUUCUGGAAUGGCACGUUCACUGUGAGAACACUCUGUCAUCAGGCUGCACCCCUGAAAAGCCAGGCUGCCCUGGGGGCCAUCUCAGAUGCAUCCCUGCCACGGUGGCUCAUAUCCACAGCCCUGAAUUUACAUAGCCGAUGGCCAGCAAUAUCAACGGCCAUGCAUUUUGGGAUUACAGUUGCUGCAGAAAAUUGUGUUCAUAACAUAACAUAUAGAG